AUUUUUUUCACCGGAGCGCGGACAGACCGUUAAAACCGAACAAAUCCUUUUUAAACGAUUCCGGUUUAUUUGUAUUCUGUGCUGUAAGACACUGUGCUUUAAUAGCAAACUGCAAAAAAGGCAGUACGUAUUGCUUUCCUUUUAAUUUCACAAUGGAACGUUUCACAAAAACAGUAGACUACUUUCCUGUGUUUAAGUGACCGGUGAGUCUGGGAUGGAAUGGAAUAAGUCUGGGAAGCGUCAAGGGAGCAGGAAAUGGCGGGUUAGUCACACGGAGGGGUAGUGACGGGCGGUAUGCUAAGUGACAAAUAGGCAGAAAGGAACUCAUUAAAACUGGGGUUUGGGACUCAUCAGUGCCCACGAGCAUCAGCCCAGUUUCUAACAUUCACGACGUUCGUAGCUUUUUAAUGGUAAUACCUCCUAAGAGAUUGGACCGUGAGUAUUUUAGGCACCGGGAGAUUCAAGUUUACGUCUCGCUUCUGUGCUGAAGGGAGAUUGGUCAGUAGUGGGGGAAGGAAAACCAGAUUCCGGCAAAGCUUUUUAGCUUAGGGCAGGCAGAAGGCUUCCCCGUGUUGUGUCUUCAUUCAUCAUUGGGCAUUUUGCAUUAAAAACCCACUCUCCUCACAACCAGUGCUGAUAAUCUCUCACCCUUUGUCCAAAUAUGCGUUGAUAUAUACUACUGAAGUGUGCAACUUAAUGCUAUUGCUUUGUCUAGACAAAAUAUGAGCACUCCACACUGAGUAAAGGUGAACGAGGAUUCUAUGCCUGUAGUGCAGAAGUGACCUAUUUAUGUAACCCAGGGUAUUAUUUACAGGAGACAAUAUUUGUACCCCACUAUCGCAGUAUAUUUCAGUGCUGCUUGGAAUUAAGUUUGCUUUGCUUUGUUUUUAAAGUGGAAUUAGAAUUUAGAAUCAGCGCUGCUGUCAACUAAAGAAGAAAGAAAAGUGCAAUGAAAUUUCUCUCUCAGAAAGCUCUGUUAAUGCAGCUGGUCUGCCAUCUAUCCAGCAGUUGUGCUUUUUGCCUAGUGGCCAUCAUGGAGAUACAGGUAAGUAAAUUAGGGGUAGGUGCCGCUUUCAUUUACUGUCUGAUUCUGUUCUAUAUUUAAUCACUGCACUAUUUGUCAUCGUAGAAAUUUGACAGUGUUUCAGAACACUGAAAAGCUGGAUGCAUUUCCUAUGGCAUCACAGGUUAGGCAGUCUUCAUUCAGCUUUUGGAGAUCGUGGAUAGAAGAGGGGUUACAAAUAUUUAUCGGAAGUUGCACUAAUUGUGAAGAUCAGCAUAAGCAAUGUCAUUUGUAAUGCACACAUCUCAGAGGAAGCCUCUCAGUACGACCUGCAAGUUAUCAAAUAUGAGAACAUUUUCCCUCUUUGAGGAGCAGAAAGUUAACAGGUAUACAUAUUUAAAUACCAGAAGUGAGGUAAAGAGAAGCAUUUGAAUUAAGGCACCAUUAUUUACAAAUUCCACUAUUGGCACUCACUCCAAUAAAUCACAGAGAUGCACUCAUCUGGGAGUAAAUGCAAUGCUAAGGAGUUUUUCCAGCCCUUCAACCUUCAUUUCUACAGGCGUGUGUGAAGCCACCAAAACUUUUACCCAUCACAGCCUCUGUGAUGUCUAGUGUCUAGAUGCUAGUGUAAGAAUAGUCCUAGAAAUAUGUAGUUUCUUUAAUAUCCUCCAGCAUCACGCCACGGAUGACAUAAAACAAAGGAAUUAUAAAGCAAAAAAAUGUGUUAUAUCCACAGGCCUAACGAUUAAGUAAUGGUUUAAGCAACCGGUAUCUGUUCAUUGUAUUGUCACAGAUGGUUUAAAAUCCCCUUCCUUUACCUGCAGCUCUUAAGAAAGGUUCAAAAUAAUGCUUUGAUAACACUGCAUAAGAAUAAUCCAGCAAUGGUUUUCUAGAAAUCCUCCAAAUUAGGCUACAUGAAGGUUGGUCCAAUUUAUCAGUUGAAACGCAGUCUCUUAUUUUUAAGAUGCACAAGUUAUUUUCAAGUCAGAAGAUGCACAAAGCACAAGUGAAUGCAACUGUUCCAUUCUUACUCAGCUGUAGAAAUGAGUUCAUAGAUAGGGCACAGCAGUUAGUCGAUACCAGUUAACAGUCUCCUUGCUCAAGUUGAAGUCCUUCAGAGAGAGUGUAAUUCCACCCAAGAAGAAGUUCUCACGUAAUGAUUCCGCACUGAGCACACUCAGCUGGAGUUCUCUCUGCUUCAGAGUUUCCACGCUAUAUCCACUGUACACAAGCUGGAAGGUAAGAAGUCAAGAAUUUUGGUUAUUCAAAUGAAGUGACACAGGUGGCUCCUUUUUCUGCCUGCCUCACCACUGAUGUUGAAUUGCAGAUCGCGGCCAUUCCAUACGUCUGCUUUUCUGAGGCUAGGCUGAAGCCCAUGCAUAUUUCAUUACGUGCUCUUAAGUGUUUAAAAGGACCAAUGUUUUUAGAUAGAAGUACUGUUUACCUGUGGUAUGUUCUGAAUUCAUUCUUUUCCACAUUCUGAAUCAAUGAAUCGAAGGAAGAAUCUUUAGUUUUAAGACUCUUUCACUUCUCACCAUCACUCCUCAAAGUCAAGUCUAAGAAAUUUCUGCUAAUUUGUAACAUAGGCCCAUUUUAUUCUUUAUUUUUUUUUAACAAGGCACAAAAAGUUUUGGAAACAAGUUCAUUUUGGAUUUAUAUAUAUAUUUGCAGGGUGAUUUUAGACAAGAUUUUGAUUACUGCUUAGAAUAAAAGAUGAUAGCAAACCAUACAGAGUUGCUACAAAAAAUUGAACUUGCCAUUUCAUUGAAAGUUGGAUUUCUCGUCUUCCGGGAGAUUUUGGUUUUGCGUUUGGAUGUUUUGUGCGUGUCUGGCAAUAAGUAUGUUUUUACGUAGGGAUUUGGAUCUGCACCAUCUUCUGUAACCUGGAAUCCAAAACCAAGACGUGUUAGAAGAUGAGUUGGAAAAGUAGUUAUUGCACACUUACACGACUACUUUCGAAUUGCUAGUCUUAACCACCAAGCAGAUCAAAAGCAGCAGCUGAUAUCUUUGAUGUGCAUCACCAUGAUAAACAGAGUGCUAUUUCUGUAUGAUAUGGAUAGCUUCACUUCUCCACCCACUUUGCCUGAGGUUGGGUUCAGCUACUCAGGUUUCCUGCACAUUCCCAUGGACCUACUUCAGAAUCUCCUGGAGCAACACUUGGAGGCCAGCCUAUGACUUCACUCUGAGAAGAUGUGAGAAAGUACAGUUUCCCCUGGAAUACCUGUCCUUAAAAGAGAGCAGCAGUAACUCCUACCACUACCAGUUCUCCUACACAACUUUAAAGAAGUCUUAAGCAGUUAUGACAGAUGUAUCAUGCGUAAAAUAUAUUCUUGGCCACCCAAAAAGGAAAUUCUGUGGAUACUUUCAAGAUUCUGAAACGUUCAUUCAAGGUGGUGUCAUGCCAGCACUAAGGUGGAAGUUUCCUAUUGUACAGUUAUGAAAUUGAGCUGCUUACUGAAAAAACUAGCCAUCUUCAGACAUCUCUUCCUAAUCGUGGAACUGAUGAGACGGUUUCUAGAUGUACAAGAACAAGCUUACAAAGUAUUUAAGCAUACUGAUCUAUGCUGAAGUUAAUCAUUCUUUCAUUGGUAUCAACUACCAUUUAACAUUUUUCCAAUACACACGUAAGGCCUACCUUAAACAUCACAUUAAUUUCUUCUCCCAGAGGGUCUGCAUUUAUCAGUGCAAUUUUCAGUGGUACUGCAUUGGAGCUGAAGAAGGAGCAUGCCUACAAGUAGAUUUAUUGUUACUAUUCAAAAAGGACUACAAGGGCUAGUGCAGGAAACAUGACAUUCUGACAACAAGCACGUAUGACACAAUGUGCAUAUUCACACUCAUAACAUUGCAAUUGUGGUGAAAGUGUUUCCUUUGAACAAAGGGCCCUUUAGCUGAUAUUUGUUCAAUUCUUGUACAAAAGCCAACAGUUCAGCACAGUAAUGUUUUGUGUUGCAUCGAAGAAUGAGUAAAACAUGGAUAAAUAUUUUACCAGCAACUUUUUAAAACUUAAGACUAUAAAAACUGGAUAUUUGUGCCUUUCACUAUGUUCUCAUUUAUCUGUUUUCAAAUACAUAUUCAUGAUUUAAUUAAGACACUUGUAGUAGAGAAGGAAAGCAAAGGGAACUCUGGAUCUACUCUGGAUUAAAUCCCAUGCUCACGGACCUUUAGAUUCUCAGUUACGCACAAUGAUAUAAUCAAGGCUGUCAAACACGGUCAAACUUUGCAGAGUUCAGCAAAAACUCAUUUAUCAGCUUCUACACUAUCAUUUGUUGGACUUUUAUAAUGAAAUAAAGCUACUGCCUGUUUCCCUGGCACAACCAGUAACAGGCACAUUCACUGAUUUCACGGUAUUUAUUCAUUGUUUUAUCUUUAUAGCGUUAUUCACUUUUCUCUUUUGAUUACUACUGAAAACAAGACCUUCUCAUACGCUUUUGAGUAUUCCUCUCCUACAGCCACAAUUGCUGGUCUCAAAGCAGAAAAGGUCUGAAGAAAUAAUCACAUUUUAAUUAUUUACUAACAGGACCUUCCCCUGGUAUAAGUAUUUGUAUAAUUUUUCUUUUCUUAAUUAAUUUUACUCCCUCUUUCAAUCAGCAUUUUUAAUUAGAACUCUCC
rnacentral:lncRNA from 1 species